rnacentral:snRNA from 1 species
UUCGCUUCUUGGCCUUUUGGCAAGAUCACGUGUAAUAUCUGUUCUUAUCAGUUUAAUANCUGAUUUGUCCUCUAUUUGAGGACUCUAUAUUAGAUGGAUAANUUUUUUUUAAAAGGAUCUACACGAACACCUUUACUACACCUGUC